UUCAAACAUUGAACAAUCAAUGGAAUGCAUAACACAAUCAUCAUUCGAAUUCCUAUGAUAACUUACACAACCCACAAAAAUUUGAUUACCAGCUUAAAAAGCCUACUCCAAGUCACACACAUACAUGCAUGUACAAAAAAGUCAUAGAAAUAUGGAAAGCAAACACUAUCUCUCACAUUGGUUGUUUCUCGUUAGGGCUGAAAAUAGGUAAACACACGUUGCAGUUAGGAAACAAAUCUGCUCUUCCAAGCAUUUCCAAAUGAAGAAAUUAAAUGCAACUUUUUGUGGAAAGCGAGUGAACCCUAAAUAAAUAUCUUCAAAAUAGUCACUUAUUGAUGAUGCCUGCACCACUCACUCACUGAAAAUCUCUUUUAUUUCAUGACCCUACAAUCAUAUCAUAGUUGAAAUCCACUUCAUCACGCGCAUGCUUCAUACAAAUCAUCAUUAUCUUGCUUUUGAUUGGAGAGUGUAAUACACAGCACUUUCCAUUUUUGGUUCAAUGUAACAUGGUGGAAAGAGUUACUAUUAUGUGAGCAAGUUGGUUCAUAAAUGUCCAAAGCAUCUGUCACUAGCUAAUUAAAGGUUUUUUGGGAUGGCCUACUCACAUUAUAGUGGCCCUCCUGAUGAGAUCCAGAACCCAAAUCUUGAUUGAUAGUGAUACAAAGAUUAGCCAUUGCCAAUUCCAAUUUUGAUAUAGGACCCGUUCUAUCAAAUUUGGGUUCCAUUAUUGAAGAGAGAACCACAUAUUCUACAUCAAUUAGUCAAUGUUUUCUUUAUAUAUUUGGUUCUUCUUUAUAGAAUCAAGAUCACUAUGAUUGAUAUUUGUUACUAUAUUCUGUUUUCUUUUUAUUGGAACUUUUAUUAAUUAUGGUGAUUAAUGGGAUGACUCUUAUAAUUUGUGGUUGGAUUAACACAAUCAUACAAAAUCAACUUGUGAGAUGAAGAUUGUCUCCACUUAUAAACUGAAGCAAGAUUUGAGUGAUCUGAUAGUGAAACUUGUGAUUAAAUCUUAAACAACCUCACUAAAUCGAUUUGUAAGAGGAUAAUUGAGUUCACUUAUAAAUGUUUGUUCAUGCCAUAAUACUUUUAAUUUGAGGUUUUAACCGUGUCAAAAUAGUCAAACUCGACAUACCAACCCAUUUUUUUAAGUAGUGACCUCAAAUUUUGAAGUCUAUCGUUUAAGUUGGACUAUACCGCUUACCCUCCAAAAAAAACAAGACAACGACAGAGGGCAUAUGGUUUGCCGGUUUAGAUAAAAACUAUGCAAGUUAAUUUUCUUUCUAAAAAUGUAAGUUAAUUUUCCUUACCGUCAAUUUAUUGAGGUUAAAUUAUUGGGUCUUGUUUACGACUAUCUCCGGAGUACUCUUUAAGCAUAUCAAAUUUAGAAAAUAUUCUUCAAUAAAGUCAAAUGUUAUAAGUUUCAAUGCAUUAAUUACAUAAAUUUUCAUAAAAACUUACUAUUAAAGGUGCUUAAAGAGUACCAUAGAAACACUCAUUAACAUUUCCCUAAAUUAUUUUUUCCUACCAACUUAUUAUACUUUUUAAAUUCCAUUAAUGAGUUGCCUCAUUUUGCCAAAAACAAAAACAAAAACUCUCCGGUCUUAAAUUAUAAGUUUUGUUUUACUACUUUCUAUUUAAAAGAGAAAUUGUGAAUUUUAUAAAAUUAUUCUUCAUUAAUAGUAUGAAAAAGAUAAAUUAUAAAAUGAAAAGAAGAGGGUAAUAAAUAAUUAAUAGUAUAUAGAUGAAAAAAUUAAUAUUUUAUUGAUAUUGUAAAACGAAUAAGAAUAAUUUAUGACUAAGUUUUUCUCUAAAGGCUUUGUUUGGGAGUUUGGAGGGGAUGAAAGGAAAUGCUUUGAGGGGUGUAAAAUAUGAGGAAAAAUAGAGAAAUCUUUCAAAAAAAUUAAAAGAGUAGUUUUUUAAAGAAUGAUAAAUUAAUGCAUAUGAUUACUUUAUUUUUAAUUUUAAAAAUAUUAUAACAACAUAAAUUAAAUUCGAAGAAUUCUUAUUAACCCCCCAAAAUCCUCCUCCAAUACAAUUUUUUAGUUCCUCCAAAUGAGGAGGGUUUUGUAUUAUGAAGAAAAGUCAACCCCAAAGCCCUCCUCUCCCAUUAUCCUCUAUUUCUUUCACUUACUUAUUCCUUUUUUUCCAAGACUUCCCCUCCCUUCUCAUCCAAACUCGCAAACAAAGCCUAAAACAACACAUAAUUGACGAUAGAGGGAUUAGGUUAUAUAGUAUUGACACAAGUUUACUUCCUUUGAUCUCAUGCGGUAAAUUUAAUCAUUAAUCUAGUAUUUGGUCAUAGUUAAAGGUUCUUCAUCCAUCUAUAAUAAUAAGGUUCUCGAUCAAAAGCUUAUUUUAGACAUUAACAAUGAAAAGUAAUCCACUUGAAUUGAAUUGAUGGUAUUGACUUGAAAUUUGGGAGUAUAUUCGUCUUUAAGGUUUCAGGUUCGAUUUUCCUAAUACCAAUUUUGUGAGAGAGUAAAAAAUUUCCCAGUACCAAUUUUCCUAAUGCCAAUUUUGAAACUAGAAAAAUAUAUUUAAAACUAGCCACCAAAGAUUUGAAAUAGAGAGUAAAAAACAAGACUCAGCUUUUGUACCAAGAAAAAAAAAAGGACUCGGCCCAAUUGAAAAGAUUUUUUUUUAAGGAACCAAUUGAAAAGUUAUUAUAGCAACAAAGAUGCAUGCACAUAUUGCAUACCCUCUCCAAAAAAACAAAGAUGCAUGCAUAUAUACGAUGAAAGAAGAAAAACAAAACCACAGGCUUACAUGUUACUAGCUUUGUUUCAGUAAUAAUCCAAUUGAUAACCACCAAUGCAACUUUUUCAGUUUGAUUAGAAAAGACAUCUUGAAUUGAUAUUUAAAGAGCAUCAAUGAAGAAGGUGAUAAUACACAAGGAUACUCCAAUUUAAUAACGGACAAAACAUCCACAGUUUGAUUGAUUUGAAGGAUUGAUUUUAACAAGAAUAUGUAUACUAAAUGAAAGAUUAGCAGUUUAUUAUAGGACCCUACACAAAUUUUUGUCGAUAUUAAAAAUAUUCAAGAUCUGCAUUAAUUAAAAGAAGAUCUCAUAUAAAAGUUCAAGAAGGAUAGACACUCAAAGUCGAUUAGUAACUUUUUUAAGAACAUUUAUGUGUCUCAAAACCCAAGUACUAGUUUAUCCAUUGAAUGAUCAACCGUAGAUAUGCAUGCACUAAUAUAUAUUUUACUAAACAUUUUAAUAUAGUUAGUUAUAGUAUAUAAAAAAAAUGAUUAAAAAUGCAGGGGUGUUGUUGUGUACAAGUGUGAGUUAUAUGUCUCACAUCAGAUAAAAGAGUAAAGGUUGAAUACCUUAUAAGUAAGAGGACUCAUAAAUCCAUUGUCCUAAAGUUGUGGGUAAAAGUGUGGCGUCUCUCUUGCUUGUGCGGUUGUUCUAGCCUCGAUGUGGAUGGUCCCCCGAACUCCCCUCAUGACCCAUGACCCAACAGGGAGACCAUGGCCUUUAAAGGCUCCAAUUCCCUCCGCCCCUGCUUUUGUAUUUUCAAAAGAG
rnacentral:lncRNA from 1 species